CAACAAAAUCAAAUCGUCUUGGGACAUCAUUAAAGCUUGAUAAGCUAGUAAGUUGCAGGAAGCAUGCUUUUGAUUGUGCCCCGAGGGCAUUCUGUUUGUGCUUGCUCAUCCUCAGUGUGAGCUUUCUUCUCAUGCAAAUAUAAAUAGUGGUAUGCUGAGCUACUGAAGCGAAUUGUAACCAUGUUAAACGGCAUUAGUUCCAGUAGCUGAGUUUGUCUUACAAUUCUCUGUCAUAUAAACUUGUUUGGCCAAAUAGUGCAAAAUCACAUUAAAAUGACUCAGCAAACUGGAACACAACUGAGGGAGGACAGACCUUAUGCAACCCAGAUACAUUUAUUUGUUGAAGCAGCUUUGAAAGAACAGCAAACUGCAAACCCAAACCUCUUCCACCCAGCAUCACCAGCACUAUGAAAGGCAGGAGGAACAUCUGCUACAACCAGCUCUUCUGCAAACCAUUCUUCCCAGUUUCGUCUCUGAUGUUCUUAGCAUGUGGGGAUAAGAACUCACUGGAAGAACAGAUCUCAACUACAAAUACAAAGAGCUGACCAAAACUGCAGUUACAGUCAGCUUCCCUGAACAACCACCUCCUUCUCGUUAGAUUUGUGGUAGUAGAAAUACACAUGGAAAAUCACAAUACAGAGCCAUCUAUCUAGUCUUCGCGGGAAAAAAUGCUUGGAAGACUUCUGGUUGGUUCAAGAACAACUGUCUCAACAAUGGCUCAAUGAAGACUUAUGCCAUAUGAUGUUGAUAUCAUAGACUACUAAUUGCUUCCUCUGCCUCAAAAACCAUGGUUUAAAAUGGCCAGUGACACAAGAAACUUCACAAUGAAGAAAAUGCGUAGAAGCGAUGUGUAGGAACUGUUGAAUCACAGCCUGAACUUCCGAUUGAGCACUUGAGGCAAACUCUGGGUCAGCCCUGGGAGCACAGGUGAAGGCAAUAAAGCUGUGUGACCAGAAGGGGUGGAGCUUGGCUGCAUCUCUCCUAGACCCUAUUCAAGGGCUGACUGUGCCUAAGGAAGGGUCUCUUUCUGGAGAUUGCUCUCUUUGGAGUUUUGUUUUUUUGUUUACAAGCCUUGGACACAGGUGAGCAUUUUCAAUUAUCCCUUUCUGCUGUGAUAAUCUUUCUAGUUAUACUGUAUAAAUCUGUAGGUACCAGCCCAACCACACCACUCUGUAAAUUUGUUGAUUGUACUAGUGGGAAGUUAGUGGAGGGGAUAAAGUUAAGAAAGAGAUGAGAACAGUCUUGUUUUUUCAUUGCAGCUAACCCUGUUCUAGUCAAUAUGCUGGAGACGUGAUACUUACAGGAUGAAAAACUGUGGGUUUUUUUUCUUUGAUUCUUUGCCUCAUUCAGCAUUCACAGAUCUGUUCACAUUGCGAACUUUUUUCUUUUGUCAAACAGUUUGUGUGCUUAAUAGUGAUGGACUUACAGAUGAAAGGAGUUAUCCUGAGAGUUGCGUUAUGAAAUACAACACAAAAGAAAGAAUUAGGGUUGCUGAGGAAACUUUUGGUCUGGGAUUUAUGAGCACUUAAUCAUUCCAUUUGCCAAGAUCACCAGCAGCUAUUUUCUGUUAAGUCUUAAUGAUUGUCCAUUUAAUGAUGAAUAGUAAGCCUUAUUUAUAGAUGUCUUGACAUGUCCUGUGAGCUAUGAUCAUUAUGUGGAAUGAAUUUCUUGAGAAUUGUACUUGUUUGUGUGCACAUUUAUCUACAAGUUCAUAAAAGGACUUGUAUGGGUGGUAUAAGAAAUCCAAGUUUAUAAUUGGAGAGCUGGUCUACAGGAAUUGUAACUUGAAGUACUCAAUCUUGCAUGCAUAGUCUGAAGUAGAGAAAGAAUUUUCAUGUAAGCUGACUUAUGUUCACAGUUGAUUAGCCGUGUUCCAAAAUAAAUAUUCAGAAAUCUCAGUGAGGUCAAACUGUACAUAGUUUUUACAGUGCUACUUAAAUUAAAGGCGAUGCAAAAAUGGGUAAAACAGAGGCAGACAAUUUUCAGUGGUAUUCAGUGAAGGGAGAAGAGGUAACUGGGCCAAAAAAGAAAACAGGAAAUUCCAAGUACUCAUAAGGAGAAGCUUUUAUUAUUAUUAGAGAAGUGGUGAGACUUUGAUUCUUGAAGAUACUCCACCUGAACAAGGCCUUGAGCAGCCUGCUGCAAUUGACUCUUAGGGGUUAGGCUAGAUGGUCCCCAGAAUCCCCCAGUAAUUCUAUGGCUGUAUGAAACUUGGAAGUGGCACUAUCCUUAUCUUCAACACUUAUUCCUAAAACUUUAAAAAAAGAAAAACAAAAACAUCUUGCUAUCGCUUAUGUAUUCUAA